rnacentral:lncRNA from 1 species
CUUUUUUUUUUUUUAAAUUGGGCAGUGUUUUAUUUUCCUAUACAAUUUAAUAAAUACUUCUUGAUGACUGCACAUGGAGUAAGGCUGAUUGGUAGUUCAGAAAGAUCACAGCGAUGGUGUUUUCCUGACACUGUAGCCUUCCAUAGUGAGUGGAAUGACUUGUAUGACGUCACUGUCAAACCAGCAAGACUGCAUUUAUGCACCCAUCAUUUUCAGGAUUGUUGGUAACUUGAGCAUACUUUCCCCAAAUGACCUUGCCUCCUUGUGUCACAAGGCCCAGCUCGCUUACAUUCACUUCAAUGACUGUCCCUUUGGUGAUCACACCCAGGGUUGUAUAUAAUGGGGAGGAGGGAUUCUUUUUCACACCGAGUAUAGGCAGGCAAAAGGUAGCUUUCAGCUCAGGGUAUGUAAUAUGGGCUUUUUUGAAACAUAGACCCAUUGGCCUAAUGAACCUUUCAUAUUUAGGUGGUUUUCUUGUAAAACCAUCACCAACAAAGCAGACUUUUGUAACCAUUCUCUUCCAUGCCUUUUUUUUUUUUUCCUGUUCGAAUAACUUUCAAUACUUCUGUUUCUCCUUGGGCACGAACUUUGGGUAGAGGGACCUCCCAUUUUCCCGCCUUUUCUUUCCGCUUCUGCUUAAUCAUGUUGGAAAGUACUUUUGCUCUUGACUGCCCCUCUCUGUCCAGCAGGUGGGCAGGGACUGCUCCCUGUGGAGUCUUCUCAUCCUUCUGCUUGGUGUUUCUCUUCUCAUGCAUCUUAAUGGUCUUUUUCAUUUGUAUUUUCUCGGCAUGGCGCUGUUUAUGGUAGAGCUUAGCCUUCAGGCCGAUCAUUUUUUUUUUUUUUUUUUUUUUUUUUUUUUGCUUUCUUUGAACGUUCAUGGGCCUCCCGACCUUCUUUCUUUUUUUCUCAUGGUAGUCCAAACGAUAUCCAUAUCGUUUGCGGUGCAAUUCAAUAUAUUUAUUUUGUGGCAUGAUGACAGCCGCGAAGCAGCGGUCCGCGAUCUCCCGGGUUCUAAAAACUUCUUAAUCCCAGCGUUAUCACUGGCCCACGA